UAGUACGAAAGAUUAGACUAAUAACCGAAUAAUAACAUACAAUAUCGCAUGAGAAGAUGUAGAAAGUCGCUCUUUGUGGCGACGCUUUUGGAUGAGGGUGCGACGUAUCAGAUAGUUGGUGAGGUAAUGGCUCACCAAGUCAAUGACGCGUAGCUGUACUGAGAGGUAGAACAGCCACAAUGGGACUGAGACACGGCCCAUACUCCUACGGGAGGCAGCAGGC
rnacentral:rRNA from 1 species